rnacentral:rRNA from 1 species
AGCGGCGGACGGGUGAGUAACGCGUGGGUAACCUGCCUCAUACAGGGGGAUAACAGUUGGAAACGGCUGCUAAUACCGCAUAAGCGCACAGUACCGCAUGGUACGGUGUGAAAAACUCCGGUGGUAUGAGAUGGACCUGCGUCUGAUUAGGUAGUUGGUGGGGUAACGGCCUACCAAGCCGACGAUCAGUAGCCGACCUGAGAGGGUGACCGGCCACAUUGGGACUGAGACACGGCCCAA